AAAGGAAUUGACGGGGCCCGCACAAGCGGUGGAGUAUGUGGUUUAAUUCGAUGCAACGCGAAGAACCUUACCUGGUCUUGACAUCCCGGAGACCCUUAGGAAACUAGGGGGUGCUUCCAUCUGGAAGAAUCUGGAGACAGGUGCUGCAUGGCUGUCGUCAGCUCGUGUCGUGAGAUGUUGGGUUAAGUCCCGCAACGAGCGCAACCCUUGCCUUUAGUUGCCAGCAGUUCGGCUGGGCACUCUAAAGGGACUGCCGGUGUUAAACCGGAGGAAGGUGGGGAUGACGUCAAGUCCUCAUGGCCUUUAUGACCAGGGCUACACACGUACUACAAUGGCCAAUACAAAGGGCAGCGACACUGCGAGGUGAAGCCAAUCCCGUAAAAUCGGUCUCAGUCCGGAUUGGAGUCUGCAACUCGACUCCAUGAAGUUGGAAUCGCUAGUAAUCGUGGAUCAGCAUGCCACGGUGAAUACGUUCCCGGGCCUU
rnacentral:rRNA from 1 species